AUGAAAUUUUUAAAAAUUUAGAUUUAUUUAAAUCCGAAAAUAUGAACAUUAAAAUUACAAAUUUAAUGGAUAUAGAAUUUUGGCAAGUUUUUGGAUAAUAACAAAAAUAUUUACAUGCUUUAUGUGUUAAAAUUAGAAGUGGAGGGAGAGAAAGAAAGAAGGAAAAUAAUUUAUAAUUAAGAUUUUUCAUUAUUAGAAUAAUAAUAUUUUAUGUAAUGACUUUAAUAUUUACAGAAUAUUGUAUAGGAGUUGAGUUGUUGGCAUAAUAGUGAUUAAAUCAAUUUGUUAAGGCAUCCGAAUUCAAAAUGAGUACUCAUGCUUUUAAAUUACAGUAAUUAUAUUUGUUUCUCUUACAAUUAACUAUUGUUAUUAUUUAGUCACUUAUUGUUAAAGUUGAUUUCUCCUUCUCCAAGAAAAUCGAUCAUGUUAUUAUUUAAUUGCUCAAUUCAUUAAACACAAUAAUAUAUAUUUUUAUUAUAUAUUAUUAUGAUAUUCAUCAUACAUUUCAAUAUUAAAUGAUAAAUAGAAUGUAAAUGAUAUGAUUGUUAUAAAAGGCUUGCAUAUGUAUGCUGAAUUGAUGGAGCUCACCUCCUCAUAGUACUAGCUGAGGACACUGUACUCGUGCACGUUAAAAGAAAAAUGAAAUGGAAAAGGAGUAUCAUCAUUGUUACUAAAUUUAGACGGUGAUUCCUGUGACGGUUGUACUAUAUAUGAAAAUAAGAAAGAUAUGAAUACAGAUAUGAUGAGUGUAAACCGAAUAUAAUAUGACAUGUAUUUUUUAUUUUUUUUGCAUAACAUUAUAUAUUUAAAGUCUGGAAUGAAAUAAAUGAUAUGUUCAAAUGAAAUAAAAUUUAAGAUAUGGAAUGAAAAAGUGUCAUCAAGCAUAUUCCUUCUAUUGCCCUGAGUUACUGUAGUUUAGAGGCAUGUGUUACUCGCUAAGCUUUGGUUUAUUGUUGUUGCUCCAACUUUUAUUUCAAGUAAGUUUAAGAUAAUUCAAUGCGCAGAAAAAAACAAAAAUGUCUACCGCAGACGUGAGGCACCAGAAGAAAGGUAAGUUUAAAAUAAUUCAAUGAGUGAAGAAACGAAAAUAUUUACCUUAGACGUGAGACACCAGAAGUAGCUUGGAGAGUUGUUGUGAGUUGGAGAGAGUGUUUUUGUUUGGAGAGUUGUGGUUUUGUUUUGUUAAGAGCUGGUUUUGGUGUUGUGCUGUUUAAUAGCUUGUAAUUAGGUUGGAUAGUGGAAGCAUUUAUUUCAUGUAUUUUCUUUUAUUUUAUUUUAAUUGCAUUAAUUAAGUAGAAUAAUUAAUUAAAUUUUAAAUUUAAUUGCAGUCAAAAUUAAUUGCUCAACUCUCCAAUUAAAAAUGUAUUUUAAAAUUAUUCAAUUAUUUACAUUAUUAAUUAAGAUUUAAAGCUCCCACCAUGUGAGAUCCCAAACCUACCUCCACUAUCAAAUAUUUCUAAAUCACCCAUGGCAGAAAAGGUGGACGGAAUCCUAAGUGAUAAUAUCAUAUCCAAAAGGGAAGGUGGACGAAGGAGAUACUUGAUUAGGUGGAAAGGAAAGCCCGAGUCUGAGGAUACUUGGUUAGACCGCGAGGAGUUGCAGCAGAUUGACCCAGAUGCACUAGAAAUCUACAAAAGCACCAGAGACACUUACUCGACAGAGUCGAGCAUUCUCCCACCCCAGGAGAAUGAUGGGGAUAUCGGAUCAUGAAAGGUUUAUCAGAGACGUGGUCACCGAUCCAUGGACACGAUUGAGUUAUUAUAUUUUUGAUAUGUUUAUGUAUUUUCUUAUUUAUGAUGUUGUAUUGUAUUUUGUUUUAGUUAGUUUCCCGUUGUACCCUUUUAUUAAGGGAUGUCAUAUGUAAGCGCUGAGGGCAUUGUCGUCUUUCUCAUUUUUAAGUCUAAUGUACGAGGUUAUUUAUAACC